UACGUAGGGGGCAAGCGUUGUCCGGAUUUAUUGGGCGUAAAGAGCGUGUAGGCGGCCAGGGAGGUCCGUUGUGAAAACUCGAGGCUCAACCUCGAGACGCCGAUGGAAACCCCCUGGCUAGCAGUCCGGAAGAGGAGAGUGGAAUUCCUGGUGUAGCGGUGAAAUGCGCAGAUAAUCAGGAGGAACACCGAUGGCGAAGGCAGGUCUCUGGGCUGACACUGACGCUCAUGCAC
rnacentral:rRNA from 1 species